UACGUAGGGUGCGAGCGUUGUCCGGAAUCAUUGGGCGUAAAGCGCGCGUAGGCGGCCCUGUAAGUCCGCUGUGAAAGUCAAAGGCUCAACCUUUGAAAGCCGGUGGAUACUGCAGGGCUAGAGUCCGGAAGAGGAGAGUGGAAUUCCUGGUGUAGCGGUGAAAUGCGCAGAUAUCAGGAGGAACACCGGUGGCGAAGGCGGGUCUCUGGGCCGAUACUGACGCUGAGGAGCGAAAGCGUGGGGAGCGAACAGGG
rnacentral:rRNA from 1 species